rfam:Danio rerio chromosome 17, GRCz11 reference primary assembly.
GUAAUGGUUUUAUUUGAAACUACAAACAAUAACAAAGCAGUUAUUU